CAGUGGAGAUCAAUGUUGUAAAUAAAAAAAUAUAUAUAAAGAAAGCAGAGCAUUUUAUGGUUGUAAAUAUAAAAAAUACUAAGCAAUCCUUUUUUUUCUGCUUCUAUCUAGGUCAGAUAGUGUUAUAGUUUCCCAUGUUCUCUGGGUUAUAAUUGCUGCCUAAGAAGUUUGGUCUCUUUGGGUGUGGCAGCAACUGUGAAGCAUGUCGACCUGACACAAUCUGGUCCGUCCAGUCUGUCACUGGCGUUUCCACAUGCGUGAGGUGGCAGCCACCGCCAAACAUGCCUGGGCAGCAGACAUCAUUAAGAAGUCCAACAUGAAACAACAAAACAGUGCAUUCUGUGGAAUCUGAUCUGAUCAGAACACACCAGGGAGGGCUCUGUGAACCUCUAGGUGUCACGUGUCUGGCUAUCCUAUACUCAUCAACAAGCCUGAGCCUAUUCUACCAGAUCACUGUAACCGCCCCCAGCAGUAGACAUAACAUAACAUCUGAAUAGCUUUGUGCAUUUAAGCACCGAGGGGGGUGUCAGCUGUGAGUAGUUUAUUAGAAGACGAGCAAAAAAAGCAGGGAAGAGAACAACUGCUAGUUUGAUUUGCCUCACAAUGUCAUGUGUAUGACUGAUGUUACUGAACAGUUGAGUGAAAAGGUCCCGUGGGACAUAUUUAGUGUAUUAAGGCGCAGACAAAGGUUUCUGCUCCUUUUGCCCUUAAAGGUUGCUGACCAAGCCUCUCCUUCCUAACCAAUCAGAGAAGGCAAAUCGUUUCUGCUUGACAGGCGAGUAUUGCGUCUGUUUUUUUAGUGCAUCUAAAUAAGAGUAAUACCUGAAGGACUGGUUGGGAAAGGAAAGGAGUGGAAUGAUUCUGAGUGGCAUGCAUUUGACUGUCUGUCAGUAAACAUAAUAAUAACACGCGUGGACAACAAAUACUGCAUGCAUGCCUGCUUAACACUGGGAGGUGUAGGUUAACAGAGCACAUAUUUUCGUGUAGCUUAAGUCUCACACCUCCUUUACUACAGCACAGCUGUAGCACAUACACAA